rnacentral:rRNA from 1 species
GGGUUGUGAGGUUAAGCGACUAAGCGUACACGGUGGAUGCCCUGGCAGUCAGAGGCGAUGAAGGGCGUGCUAAUCUGCGAUAAGCGCCGGUAAGGUGAUAUGAACCGUUAUAACCGGCGAUACCCGAAUGGGGAAACCCAGUGUGAUUCGUCACACUAUCAUUAACUGAAUCCAUAGGUUAAUGAGGCGAACCGGGGGAACUGAAACAUCUAAGUACCCCGAGGAAAAGAAAUCAACCGAGAUUCCCCCAGUAGCGGCGAGCGAACGGGGAGGAGCCCAGAGCCUGAAUCAGCAUGUGUGUUAGUGGAAGCGUCUGGAAAGGCGCGCGAUACAGGGUGACAGCCCCGUACACAAAAGCGCAUGUGCUGUGAGCUCGAUGAGUAGGGCGGGACACGUGGUAUCCUGUCUGAAUAUGGGGGGACCAUCCUCCAAGGCUAAAUACUCCUGACUGACCGAUAGUGAACCAGUACCGUGAGGGAAAGGCGAAAAGAACCCCGGCGAGGGGAGUGAAAAAGAACCUGAAACCGUGUACGUACAAGCAGUGGGAGCCCCACCACUAAGCCAGUGGUGAACUCCACAUACGCAUCCUUUGCUGAAGGCAAUGGUUAACGGAGCGAAAGCGACGUUCAACCGCAAAACAAGCAGAGGGGGCUUAGUGGUGGGGUGACUGCGUACCUUUUGUAUAAUGGGUCAGCGACUUAUAUUCUGUAGCAAGGUUAACCGUAUAGGGGAGCCGGAGGGAAACCGAGUCUUAAUUGGGCGUUAAGUUGCAGGGUAUAGACCCGAAACCCGGUGAUCUAGCCAUGGGCAGGUUGAAGGUUGGGUAACACUAACUGGAGGACCGAACCGACUAAUGUUGAAAAAUUAGCGGAUGACCUGUGGCUGGGGGUGAAAGGCCAAUCAAACCGGGAGAUAGCUGGUUCUCCCCGAAAGCUAUUUAGGUAGCGCCUCGUGAAUUCAUCUCCGGGGGUAGAGCACUGUUUCGGCUAGGGGGCCAUCCCGGCUUACCAACCCGAUGCAAACUGCGAAUACCGGAGAAUGUUAUCACGGGAGACACACGGCGGGUGCUAACGUCCGUCGUGAAGAGGGAAACAACCCAGACCGCCAGCUAAGGUCCCAAAGUCAUGGUUAAGUGGGAAACGAUGUGGGAAGGCCCAGACAGCCAGGAUGUUGGCUUAGAAGCAGCCAUCAUUUAAAGAAAGCGUAAUAGCUCACUGGUCGAGUCGGCCUGCGCGGAAGAUGUAACGGGGCUAAACCAUGCACCGAAGCUGCGGCAGCGACGCUUAUGCGUUGUUGGGUAGGGGAGCGUUCUGUAAGCCUGUGAAGGUGGCCUGUGAGGGUUGCUGGAGGUAUCAGAAGUGCGAAUGCUGACAUAAGUAACGAUAAAGCGGGUGAAAAGCCCGCUCGCCGGAAGACCAAGGGUUCCUGUCCAACGUUAAUCGGGGCAGGGUGAGUCGACCCCUAAGGCGAGGCCGAAAGGCGUAGUCGAUGGGAAACAGGUUAAUAUUCCUGUACUUGGUGUUACUGCGAAGGGGGGACGGAGAAGGCUAUGUUGGCCGGGCGACGGUUGUCCCGGUUUAAGCGUGUAGGUGUGUGUUCCAGGUAAAUCCGGUUCACUUUAACACUGAGGCGUGAUGA